rnacentral:rRNA from 1 species
UACGUAGGGUGCAAGCGUUAAUCGGAAUUACUGGGCGUAAAGCGUGCGCAGGCGGCUUUGCAAGACAGAUGUGAAAUCUUCGGGCUUAACCCGGAAACUGCCAUUGAUACUAUUUAUCUUGAAUACCGUGGAGGUAAGCGGAAUAUGUCAUGUAGCGGUGAAAUGCUUAGAUAUGACAUAGAACACCAAUUGCGUAGGCAGCUUACUACACGAUCAUUGACGCUGAGGCACGAAAGCGUGGGGAGCAAACAGG